rnacentral:rRNA from 1 species
CCUACGGGGAGCAGCAGUCGAGAAUCAUUCACAAUGGGGGAAACCCUGAUGGUGCGACGCCGCGUGGGGGAAUGAAGGUCUUCGGAUUGUAAACCCCUGUCAUGUGGGAGCAAAUUAAAAAGAUAGUACCACAAGAGGAAGAGCCGGCUAACUCGGUGCCAGCAGCCGCGGUAAUACAGAGGUCGCAAGCGUUGUUCGGAAUCACUGGGCGUAAAGCGUGCGUAGGCUGUUUCGUAAGUCGUGUGUGAAAGGCGCGGGCUCAACCCGCGGACGGCACAUGAUACUGCGAGACUAGAGUAAGGGAGGGGGAACCGGAAUUCUCGGUGUAGCAGUGAAAUGCGUAGAUAUCGAGAGGAACACUCGUGGCGAAGGCGGGUUCCUGGACAUUAACUGACGCUGAGGCACGAAGGCCAGGGGAGCGAAAGGGAUUAGAUACCCUUGUAGUC